UAGGGAAUCUUCCACAAUGGACGAAAGUCUGAUGGAGCAACGCCGCGUGAGUGAAGAAGGUUUUCGGAUCGUAAAGCUCUGUUGUUGGUGAAGAAGGAUAGAGGCAGUAACUGGUCUUUAUUUGACGGUAAUCAACCAGAAAGGGACGGCUAACUACGUGCCAG
rnacentral:rRNA from 1 species